rnacentral:rRNA from 1 species
AACGAACGCUGGCGGCAGGCCUAACACAUGCAAGUCGAACGCCCCGCAAGGGGAGUGGCAGACGGGUGAGUAACACGUGGGAACCUACCUUGUGGUACGGAACAACCAAGGGAAACUUUGGCUAAUACCGUAUGAGCCCGAGAGGGGAAAGAUUUAUCGCCAUAAGAUGGGCCCGCGUCGGAUUGGCUAGUUGGUGAGGGAAUGGCUCACCAAGGCGACGAUCCGUAGCUGGUCUGAGAGGAUGACCAGCCACACUGGGACUGAGACACGGCCCAGACUCCUACGGGAGGCAGCAGUGGGGAAUAUUGGACAAUGGGCGCAAGCCUGAUCCAGCCAUGCCGCGUGUGUGAUGAAGGCCUUAGGGUUGUAAAGCACUUUCGCCGAUGAAGAUAAUGACGGUAGUCGGAGAAGAAGCCCCGGCUAACUACGUGCCAGCCGCCGCAGUAACAC